UACGAAGGGGGCUAGCGUUGCUCGGAAUCACUGGGCGUAAAGCGCACGUAGGCGGGUCUUUAAGUCAGGGGUGAAAUCCUGGGAGCUCAACUCCAGAACUGCCUUUGAUACUGAAGAUCUUGAGUUCGGGAGAGGUGAGUGGAACUGCGAGUGUAGAGGUGAAAUUCGUAGAUAUUCGCAAGAACACCAGUGGCGAAGGCGGCUCACUGGCCCGAUACUGACGCUGAGGCACGAAAGC
rnacentral:rRNA from 1 species